UUCCAGCUACUGUGGAGGUCACCUGCAUCCGGUUACUGUGGAGGUCGCAAUAUGGCGCUCCACAGUGGCUGCAGCCAGACCUUUCUCGUGAAAGCAGGAGAGGAAUACACUUUGAAAUUGUAAUCAGGACAAUUGUGGAGAAGAUGGGCCCACAGAGGAAGUCACCCCAUUGCAGGCCAGAAAAAAAUGGGGUAACUUAAAGAAAAAAUACAAAGAUUGAAGUAUCCAGGGUCAGGAGAGGGAGUCAGCCACAGAGGCCUUCCAUUAGGCCUCCUGUCCUAAUUUUCUCUAUCCCUGAGGACACUCAGGACCAAGCACAGCAGUGGGUGACCUAAAUGAAAGGGAAGAGGACACUGCUGAUGGGGAACGGAGUGAGCCACCCACAACAGGGAGAAAGAGGAGAAGGGAUGAGGAUGAUAAGCUGCUUGACCUCAUUAGAGAGAAUAUGAUGCAUCAAAGAGGCUGAGGAGAGGAGAGAGCAGGGAA